CGGGGUGGAGUAAUGUCUGGGAGACUGCCCGAUGGAGGGGGAUAACUACUGGAAACGGUAGCUAAUACCGCAUAACGUCGCAAGACCAAAGAGGGGGACCUUAGGGCCUCUUGCCAUCGGAUGUGCCCAGAUGGGAUUAGCUAGUAGGUGGGGUAAUGGCUCACCUAGGCGACGAUCCCUAGCUGGUCUGAGAGGAUGACCAGCCACACUGGGACUGAGACACGGUCCAG
rnacentral:rRNA from 1 species